AUGCGCGCGCAGACCUUCGAGGGCUUCGCCGCGCGGCAUAGCAAGCUCACCAAAAGCGUGACGUUCAACCGGGAUACGCUCCAGUCGCCCCCCGCAACGGCGGCCUCGCCCACGGUCAAAGAUCUGGAAGUCCAGUUGUGCCUCCCGGUUAAGUCGACGGUCGAGGAGCUCAAGUCGGAACCUCUUGAGGCUCCGGUCUCUUCUGGUGAGGAGCGGCUACAGACGGGUCAAGUGGACAAGUCGGUCUCGCCCUCGCGGAAUCCGGACUUGAUUCCGGACGUCGACAGGAUUCCGACGGUGGCCGAAGCGAGCACCCCGGUCGAUGUGAUCUCGGCGCAGUUCGCGAUGUGCGUGGCGGGGGAUGCCGCGGCGGCGCCCUCUGGUGGGGGUCAGCAGAACAUCACGUGCUCGACGCAAACGGACACGGCGACGUUCGACGGGGGCACGGACGGCGGCGGUCAAGCCGAGGUGUUCGCCUUUCCGGAGUCGAUGUCCAUCACCCAGUUCACGAGUGUUCAAAAGAGUUUCCGUCCGGACUCUCUCCUGUUGCCUUCUCAUAGUCUAGAGGAGGAAUAUUUCAAUGAUAUUCUCAACGGAAUCAAGCACGUCAUUCAAGGACAUUUAGAGGAUGUGCAAACGAAGUUCAAAUCAAAAAUAGUCAAUUUAGAACAAGAAGUAAGAACAAGGGAUGAAAUCAUAGCAAGGCUUCAACAAAAAAUCCAUCGGUUAGAGGCAGGGAUUAGGCAUUCAAGCGAGUCCGACUCGGAUAGUGAUAUGGACGAUUCGGAUGAAUACUCUGAUCAGCCAUUCAUGCGAGGUGAUUCGGUGGACACGGUGGUGGGUCCAUCGGAGGAGGGUGUCUGGGUGGACGAGAGCGGGCGGUGCGGGAGCAAGACGCUGCGGGGCUACCAGUGCAACCGGCGCUCCUGGGAGGACCACUCGGAGGAGGAGAGCCUGGAGCUGCAGGACCUGCCGCGCUCCAUCACGCCGCAGCCCAUGUGGACGACCGUGGAGAUCGGCUCCGAGUCCUCCGACAGCCCCGGCUCCCUCGACUCGGAGCACUCCGUCUCCGGCUCCACCUCCGAGCAGGACCUCCGCUUCCGCAAACACGAUUGCAACUGGGAGAUCCAGAUGCUCGCCCGGGAGCUCGACCGACGGAAAACCGACCGCACCCAGGAGCGCAGGGACCGAGACCGCGAUCGCAAACAGAGGUAUCGGAAGCACAAACCGCGGAGCACGGACAGCAACCAGUUAUCAGAGCUGCUGAGUCCGGAAUCGGGCGGCUCGCAAGAGCUCUUCGUCCUGGACCCCUCGUCGCUGGCUGCCUACAACCUGAACCCGAAACUGCGGACCCGGACGGAGACUGUCUCCCGCUCCUCCUCGAACCUGACGCUGCCGACCGUCGCGAACCCCAUCGCACCUCCCGAGGGACUCUACCAGAAGUCCCUCUCCAUCGGGAGCCUCCACUCGUCCAUCUCGAGCUCGGUCCGGCGCGGGUUCCACCUCCUCCGCAACAGCUCCACGACGCAGCCUCCGGAGGCGGCACCCUCCAGCGGCGCGCCCUACUCCCCGGACAUCGUGCCUACCAUAUCCCAGGCCUGCCUCCCGCCCCCGCCUCCACCUAAUAUUUGAGCUUGGGUAACUGCUUACUGAGCUCUUUAGGUCUCGCCGUUCCCUCUCAAACCGUUUGAGGCGUUGGUGCAGAGAGGGCAUUUCUUGGUUGUGGUGUCUCGAAAUUUCCUCUGCUGUUUUAUAUUUUAGAGAGGCUACUAUUCAUGAACAACAUAGUGCACGACAUUUUUACAAAACAGCUUGUCUGGUAUGGUCAUGUGCAACGGAUGCCAGAUGAUAGGUUGCCUAAGAAGGUUCUGGAUUGGGUCCCCCCUGGCAGAAAGCGUAGAGGACGCCCUGCCAAAUCGUGAAUUGAGGGAAUAAGGCAGGAAAUGAGGAGAUGCGAUCUGCCGGAGGAGCUCUGGCAGGAUCGCUAUCAGUGGCGGUUGGGUGUCGCAGAGCGCGCAGAAGCGCUGUAAGAGCGACUUGUUAGUAACUAUUCAUGAACUAUUCGAACUCCCUGAGGGGCUGUGGGAGGAUAGGGGACUUUAGCGGCUAAGUGUCGCAGGCGCAAAAGCGGAUUUUAUAUGUAUAACUAUUCAGCAUAUUUUCUGAAAUUUUUCGUUUUCAACAUUGUAAAAUCAUGAAGAAAAUUCGGUGAAAAUUGCAACGAAUUCCAUGGAACUGCUUUAUUUAUAGUGGAUGAAACUUUAGCGAAGAUUCUGAGACACCGCUGCCGAGAAAUGCCCUUUCAGCACUCAGCGUCUCAUUUAUGUCAUGAAAAAAUUCAGGGUCAGCACAGAUAAUUUUAUGCUUUCAAGGGUUGGUAGGGGCACUACGCAAGGUCUCUAGUUUUUUACACGAGAUGAAAAAUAAUUUGUUGCACUUAUCAUUCUCCUGUUGAAUUCUUGGUUCAACUCACUUUUUAGUCUUAGUUAAACUCCGUUAUUUUUUGAUAAGAAUUAUUUUGGUCCGAAUUUAGUGGUACCUAUUUUGAAUUGUUGCUCGGACCAACAUAAUUCUUACCGCAAAAUUGACAUUGUAGCUUUAACUAGAGAUCAGGCAAAACCUGAAAUUCUCCAUGAGCCCAACUAAAAUAUUGUGGACGGUUAAUGACUCUUCUUUCCCGGGCACGAGUAAUAUACAGUUCCGCGCCAUAGGCAGCGUAUAGAAUAUGACAAAUAUUUCUCGAGAUACACUCUAAAUGAGACGUAUGACUAAUUAUUGAUCAUUACAGAUAAGGUAUCCCAAAAUAUUACCUGUAUAUGAGAAUGUAAGUGCCAUGCGUACUUGCAUUCAGAACAAAAAUUAGUUCAAUUUUUCCAGGCAAUAAAAUAUUAUGAAAUUUUUCAAACUUAUACCCUUUUUGCCAAAAGUUCAUGUCCUGGCGAACCUUCAAAAUUAUAUUAACAUUCCUCAAACAUAAAAAAGCUGUAGAAGACAGUUGUAUCAAAAUGUUUCAAUGCCCAACAAAUUUCUUCGAUGAACACCGAUUCGUACUUAAAUGUUUUCUGCGAUUUUGCGUUGAAAGUUGAGAAGCCCCCUCCUCCUCCCCCAAUUACUGCCCUUAACAGCUUACUAUAAUCAUUUCGUACACGAAUCAUAAAAAUCAAGGAUUAAAAUCAGUAACUUUAAUAUGGAUUAGUCUAAUGCACUGUGACGGAUGAGUAGGUGACCAUUACUGAUUUGAUGCACAAACUAUAGAAAACUUCAUUCAAUUUCUAACUUUUUUUCUCUUUUUUAUUGUGACAAUAUUUCUGUUUUUAUGAUUUUAAAUGACGAUUUAAGAUAGAUCUUUCUUUUGACGUUUCAUCAGUAUACUUUCGUCAAUUAAGCGUUUAUAGCAAUGUGAGUGAUCAUUUGGUAUAUUUUAUACGCAAAAUUUCGUUUCAAAGAUAUUUGCUUUGUGCCAAAAUGAAUGCAUGCAGUCACCUGAGGAAAUAAAAAAGUACCCGAUCUUGAGUAAAACUUAUUUUUAAGGAUAUUGCAUGCAUUAAAAAAUCAUGCGUAUUAUAAUGUUAUUUCAUACACACUUUUACAGCACUUUCUAAAUAUUAAACAAAAUAAAUAUUAGAAAAAGAAAAUGACACCAAGACAUUGGUAUUAAGUUUUGACUUCUCAAUGCUCCCGCGUUCAUUAUCUAAAAAAUAAAUAAUAAAUAAACUAAAAUUAAACGGUUCAUUCAUGAUAAAUGAAUCAUAUUAGAUUCUAGACAGGUGCAAGAAGUAAUUUUUCAACAAAUCUGAAGGCGGUAGUUCCUGUGAAUUCUUAAUAACGUGUGAGAGUAGGAGUCUCCUAAUUCCCCUUGUUCUUGGAAAUUAAGAUUUCAAAAAGAUCGAGGAUGUUAUCUGAGACACUCAAUAGUUUGAUCUGGUGAUUUUUUCCACCUCACCAUUAUUAUAUUGUUGGUUAAAAAACACCUAUCCGAGUGCAUAUUUAUUACAUAGAUUACAAGAGUUUAAACCUUAAAAAUGUGAUUAUUUUAUUUUUAUAUAUUAUCAUUGUUAUCAUUUCGGGUACCAAUUAAAAUGUUCAAUAGGAUUUGUACAUACACUAAAUGUGAUAUAAUAUUGUUAAUUGAAAGUUGUUUAUUUUUCGUGCCCUUCCAUUCAAUUAUUUUAAAGGUAUAGUGUGCUUCGAAUUCAACACAGUUAUGACAGAAUAAUGGAAAUUGUUACCUAAUUCUAGGAGAUUGGAAAGGUCAUGGCUUACAAAUGGUUAUGCCUGGUGUUCUUCCAUCUUUCCAGAUUUUGACUUAGCUGAAAUUGCUAAGCCAAUUUCCAUAAGAUAGAACACCACCUAUACAGAUAAUGCGUGAACAGUUCUUUGAAGUCAGUCUAUUUAUAAUAUUUCUAUCUUUGUAGAUCUAACAAGAGUAGUGAUAUCAAAAAAAAAUUCAAGAAAUUCUUUAAAAUAUUCAACUCUCAAACGUAUUGCCAGCCCAACUCAACCCUCAUGGCCAAGUGUAAUAGGCUCCAUAUCAAAUUAUGCUUCAUUUUGCAUAGAAUGAGGAUUCAAAGUGAAUCAAAGGAGCAAGGAGCUUCUAUUGAAUGUUUCCUGCAAUAGAUAAAAGAAAACUCAUUAUUUUCUUAAACAAGGCAUUUUUCCCCAUGAUGUUUUAGAAGGACAUUUAUUCUCAAUGUGCUUUCAAUAGUUCUUUUUUCUUUUUUUAUAACAAUCUCCGCGUGGGAAGUUUUUAUCAUUCUUAAUUUAUUUCACAUGGGUAUAUUUUUUCCAGUACAUCAUUUCCUCUAAAGAACAAUUCUCUUUGCAAAUUGGCAGCAAUUUUUUUCGUAAAUUCUUCCUUACACUUGGGCUUGUUCAUUUAUUGGAAACUCCCCUUUUUCUGUGUUCCGGAACCGCACGUGCAUUCCUGUAUGAGCCAUAAUUAGGACGUGCUCUUACCAGUGGUGAGGCGUGAUGACCAGCUAUCGAUAUUUUCCCUUUUGAAGCUGUGGUAAAGAAUCGAUUAUUAUGACGCUAGUUGCAGACGCCCUAUUAAUCGAUCUUUUUCUAUAUUUUUGAAUGGCAAAUCAAUCGAUACAUCGGAAGUCACGCCACGCUACUGACUCUGAGUGUCUCGAAACUCAUUCGAGACUGCACUUACGCCUUCCUUCCGUAAUGCGGUAGCUUUGGGUUGAAUAUCGUUAAAUUUCAUUGACCUUGUCCUUAUCUAAUAUUAUUUGCUUAUACUUUCUUCGGUUUUUGCGCGGUGAGAUUUUACGUUCGUUCUAAAAAUAUUUCUACAACACCACUAGGCUGAGUCUGUUGAACGAGAGAAUUCCCUCCACACCAAAGGAUUUUUUUCUUAAUUCGUAUCCCUCUUCCCCAUGAUAUGGAAGGGAUGAGCUGGCUCUUUAUUUUUCCUUACCUUGCCCUUAAAAUGAAACUGGGCCAAGGAAAGUCAACAGUUUGUUCAUGUCACUGUUUUUGUUGCAACUUAACGUUAAAUAUGAUGUUACAAAUAUGUUCAAUUUAUUUAGUGAAGAGUUGACUUUAUAUAUGUGUAUAAUAUUAUGAAAAUGCUUCAAUAAUGUACAUUUUUUUCUACAGUUUUUGUAAUAUUAUGAUCCCUUUCUUUUCUCUUAAUAAAUUUACGAUAAACUAAGUUGUAUUCCUUUUCCUCCAGUUUAUCAUUAGAAAUAACUAGGGGGCCCUGCCCCCUGACCGCUACGCGGCCCAACCCCCUGGAGGACGCUUCGCGCCCUUAGGCCCGCUUCGCGGGCCUUAUGCCCUAUACGCAU
rnacentral:lncRNA from 1 species